AGAGUUUGAUCCUGGCUCAGAGUGAACGCCGGCGGCGUGCUUAACACAUGCAAGUCGAACGAGAACGGUACUAGCUUGCUAGUAUGUCAGCUAAGUGGCGGACGGGUGAGUAAUGUAUAGUUAAUCUGCCCUUUAGAGGGGGAUAACAGUUAGAAAUGACUGCUAAUACCCCAUACUCCUUUAUACUUAAUGUAUAUUGGGAAAGUUUUUUCGCUGAAGGAUGAGACUAUAUGGUAUCAGGUAGUUGGUGGGGUAAGAGCCUACCAAGCCAAUGACGCCUAGCUGGUCUGAGAGGAUGAUCAGCCACACUGGAACUGAGACACGGUCCAGACUCCUACGGGAGGCAGCAGUGGGGAAUAUUGCACAAUGGGGGAAACCCUGAUGCAGCAACGCCGCGUGGAGGAUGACGCAUUUCGGUGUGUAAACUCCUUUUAUAUAGGAAGAUAANGACG
rnacentral:rRNA from 1 species